rnacentral:rRNA from 1 species
ACGGAGGGUGCAAGCGUUAAUCGGAAUCACUGGGCGUAAAGCGCGCGUAGGCCGCCUUUUAAGUCGGACGUGAAAGCCCUCGUCUCAACGGGGGAACUGCGUUCGAAACUGGCGGGCUUGAGUGCAGGAGAGGUAAGUGGAAUUCCGGGUGUAGCGGUGAAAUGCGUAGAGAUCCGGAGGAACACCAGUGGCGAAGGCGGCUUACUGGACUGUAACUGACGCUGAGGCGCGAAAGUGUGGGGAGCAAACAG